rnacentral:misc_RNA from 1 species
GAAAUGCGAUAAGUAAUGUGAAUUGCAGAAUUCAGUGAAUCAUCGAAUCUUUGAACGCACAUUGCGCCCGCCAGUAUUCUGGCGGGCAUGCCUGUUCGAGCGUCAUUUCAACCAUCAAGCCCCCGGCUUGUGUUGGGGACCUGCGGCUGCCCGCAGGCCCUGAAAAACAGUGGCGGGCUCGCUGUCACACCGAGCGUAGUAGCAUACAUUCUCGCUCAGGGCGUGCUGCGGGUUCCGGCCGUUAAACGACCUUCAUAACCCAAGGUUGACCUCGGAUCGGGUAGGAAGACCCGCUGAACUUAAGC